rnacentral:rRNA from 1 species
AGGACGAACGCUGGCGGCGUGCUUAACACAUGCAAGUCGAGCGGUAAGGCCCUUCGGGGUACACGAGCGGCGAACGGGUGAGUAACACGUGGGUAACCUGCCCUCAGCUCUGGGAUAAGCCCGGGAAACUGGGUCUAAUACCGGAUAUGACCUCGCAUCGCAUGGUGUGGGGUGGAAAGUGUUUAGCGGCUGAGGAUGGGCCCGCGGCCUAUCAGCUUGUUGGUGGGGUAGUGGCCUACCAAGGCGACGACGGGUA